CCUACGGGAGGCAGCAGUAGGGAAUCUUCCACAAUGGACGAAAGUCUGAUGGAGCAACGCCGCGUGAGUGAAGAAGGGUUUCGGCUCGUAAAGCUCUGUUGGUAGUGAAGAAAGAUAGAGGUAGUAACUGGCCUUUAUUUGACGGUAAUUACUUAGAAAGUCACGGCUAACUACGUGCCAGCAGCCGCGGUAAUACGUAGGUGGCAAGCGUUGUCCGGAUUUAUUGGGCGUAAAGCGAGUGCGGGCGGUUCAAUAAGUCUGAUGUGAAAGCCUUCGGCUCAACCGGAGAAUUGCAUCAGAAACGGGUUGACUUGAGUUCAGAAGAGGAGAGUGGAACUCCAUGUGUAGCGGUGGAAUGCGUAGAUAUAUGGAAGAACACCAGUGGCGAAGGCGGCUCUCUGGUCUGCAACUGACGCUGAGGCUCGAAAGCAUGGGUAGCGAACAGGAUUAGAUACCCCUAGUAGUC
rnacentral:rRNA from 1 species